CUGUGGAUGUAGUUCAGUGGUAGAACACCUGCUAUUGUAUAGAAGUCCCUGGGUUCAAUCCCCAGUACAAAGG
rnacentral:tRNA from 1 species